AAACUUGAGAGUUUGAUCAUGGCUCAGAACGUACGCUGGCGGCACGCCUAACACAUGCAAGUCGAACGAAGUAGCAAUACUUAGUGGCAGACGGGUGAGUAACAUGUGGGUAUCUGCCCUUUGGCCUGGAAUAACACGAGGAAACUUGUGCUAAUACCGGAUAAGUCUUUACGGAGAAAGCUUUAUGCACCAUUGGAUGAGCCCGCACUUGAUUAGUUUGUUGGUGGGGUAAUGGCCUACCAAGACUGUGAUCAAUAGCUGAUUUGAGAGGAUGAUCAGCCACAUUGGGACUGAGACACGGCCCAAACUCCUACGGGAGGCAGCAGUGGGGAAUCUUGCACAAUGGAGGAAACUCUGAUGCAGCGAUGCCGCGUGAGUGAAGAAGGCCCUUGGGUUGUAAAGCUCUUUCGUCGGGGAAGAAAAUGACUGUACCCGAAUAAGAAGGUCCGGCUAACUUCGUGCCAGCAGCCGCGGUAAUACGAAGGGACCUAGCGUAGUUCGGAAUUACUGGGCUUAAAGAGUUCGUAGGUGGUUGAAAUAGUUAGUGGUGAAAUCCCAGAGCUUAACUCUGGAACUGCCAUUAAAACUUUUCAGCUAGAGUAUGAUAGAGGAAAGCAGAAUUUCUAGUGUAGAGGUGAAAUUCGUAGAUAUUAGAAAGAAUACCAAUUGCGAAGGCAGCUUUCUGGAUCAUUACUGACACUGAGGAACGAAAGCAUGGGUAGCGAAGAGGAUUAGAUACCCUCGUAGUCCAUGCCGUAAACGAUGUGUGUUAGACGUUGGAAAUUUAUUUUCAGUGUCGCAGCGAAAGCGAUAAACACACCGCCUGGGGAGUACGACCGCAAGGUUAAAACUCAAAUGAAUUGACGGGGACCCGCACAAGUAGUGGAGCAUGUGGUUUAAUUCGAAGAUACGCGCAGAACCUUACCAACACUUGACAUGUUCGUCGCGACUCUAAGAGAUUAGAGUUUUCGGUUCGGCCGGACGAAACACAGGUGCUGCAUGGCUGUCGUCAGCUCGUGUCGUGAGAUGUUGGGUUAAGUCCCGCAACGAGCGCAACCCUCACUUUUAGUUGCCAUCAUUAAGUUGGGCACUCUGAAAGAACUGCCAGUGAUAAGCUGGAGGAAGGUGGGGAUGACGUCAAGUCCUCAUGGCCCUUACGUGUUGGGCUACACACGUGCUACAAUGGUAUCUACAACAGGAAGCAAGACUGCGAGGUCAAGCAAAUCCUUAAAAGAUACCUCAGUUCGGAUUGCACUCUGCAACUCGAGUGCAUGAAGCUGGAAUUACUAGUAAUCGUGGAUCAGCGUGCCACGGUGAAUGCGUUCCCGGGUCUUGUACACACCGCCCGUCACACCAUGGGAGUUGGUUCUACCUUAAGGCAAGGUUUCAAACCCUUGACCACGGUAUAGUCAGCGACUGGGGUGAAGUCGUAACAAGGUAGCCGUAGGGGAACCUGCGGCUGGAUUACCUCCUUU
rnacentral:rRNA from 1 species